rnacentral:rRNA from 1 species
UACAGAGGGUGCAAGCGUUGUUCGGAAUUACUGGGCGUAAAGCGCGCGCAGGCGGAUCCUGUAAGUCUGGAGUGAAAUUUCACCGCUCAACGGUGAAGCUGCUUUGGAUACUGCGGAUCUGGAGACCGGUAGAGGCUGGUAGAAUUGCAGGUGUAGCGGUGGAAUGCGUAGAGAUCCGGAAGAACACCGGUGGCGAAGGCGGUCUCUGGGGGUAAUGCUGACACUGAUGCGCGACAGCGUGGGGGGAGCAAAAC